UACGGGGGGGGCAAGCGUUGUUCGGAAUUACUGGGCGUAAAGGGCUCGUAGGUGGCCAACUAAGUCAUACGUGAAAUCCCUCGGCUUAACCGGGGAACUGCGUCUGAUACUGGAUGGCUUGAGUUUGGGAGAGGGACGCGGAAUUCCAGGUGUAGCGGUGGAAUGCGUAGAUAUCUGGAGGAACACCGGUGGCGAAGGCGGCGUCCUGGACCAACACUGACACUGAGGAGCGAAAGCCAGGGGAGCAAACGGG
rnacentral:rRNA from 1 species